CAGUCGCCGCGGGAAUACGUAGGGUCCGAGCGUUGUCCGGAAUUAUUGGGCGUAAAGGGCUCGUAGGCGGUUUGUUGCGUCGGGAGUGAAAACCCAGGGCUUAACUUUGGGCUUGCUUUCGAUACGGGCAGACUUGAGGCAUUGAGGGGAGAACGGAAUUCCUGGUGUAGCGGUGAAAUGCGCAGAUAUCAGGAGGAACACCGGUGGCGAAGGCGGUUCUCUGGCAAUGUUCUGACGCUGAGGAGCGAAAGUGUGGGGAGCGAACAGGAUUAGAUACCCCUGUAGUCCCUGUCUCUUAUAC
rnacentral:rRNA from 1 species